UGGGGAGUAUUGGACAAUGGGGGCAACCCUGAUCCAGCAAUGCCGCGUGAGUGAUGAAGGCCUUAGGGUUGUAAAGCUCUUUCGGCGGGGACGAUGAUGACGGUACCCGCAGAAGAAGCCCCGGCUAACUUCGUGCCAGCAGCCGCAGUAAUACGAAGGGGGCAAGCGUUGUUCGGAUUUACUGGGCGUAAAGGGCGCGCAGGCGGCCCGUCAAGUCAGAUGUGAAAGCCCCGGGCUCAACCUGGGAACUGCAUUUGAGACUGGCGGGCUCGAGUUCGGGAGAGGAUGGCGGAAUUCCCAGUGUAGAGGUGAAAUUCGUAGAUAUUGGGAAGAACACCGGUGGCGAAGGCGGCCAUCUGGACCGAGACUGACGCUGAGGCGCGAAAGCGUGGGGAGCAAACAGGAUUAGAUACCCUGGUAGUCCACGCCGUAAACGAUGUGCGCUAGACGUCGGGGAGCCUAGCUCUCCGGUGUCGCAGCUAACGCUUUAAGCGCACCGCCUGGGGAGUACGGCCGCAAGGUUAA
rnacentral:rRNA from 1 species